GCAUGUGAGGGCAAUCUGGCUGCUCUAUCUGUUACCCCACUGACUUCCAGGGUUGAUUUGGGUGUCCCCUUCCUCCCUCACCGCUCUGUGUGCAUCCUCCCGAAGCUGUGUGCUCGGAAGAGGACAACCUUUCCAAGUAGAGGAGGACCGGUCUUUGCUCAAGAGUAUACAAGUAGCUGUGCUCCCCGGCUAGAACCUCCAAGCAAGCUCUCAAGACAAAAAUGAAAACCUAUGCUUUUUAGUACUUCCAGCUCUACCCCCACCCCAUUUUACUG
rnacentral:snRNA from 1 species